ensembl:lncRNA
CGGCGCGGCGCGGUUCCCCGCGGUUGGGAGCAGCAGCCAGCAGGCUGCCAGAGAUCCGACCGCGCCUUCCAGCGCACAGAGGGACGCAACAGGGACGGACGGUCCUUCAUGCCAUACAGAAGUGAGUUUCUUCAGCCCUCUGUCGUGAAGUGUGGAGGAAUGAAGUUUGAGUAUUCCUUCUGGGCGGGUGCAGCGCUGCAGGGGAUGUCAAGUGAGCAUCCAUUUGGAGUGCAGGAAGGAGCAGUGAGAAGUGAACUCUCAAUCAGUUUGUGUUUGGGCUGUCAAAGUAGCACCUUUCUGUUUUCUGGGGGGACGUGGGCAUACUGGGCAGUACUUCUGCUGCCUGCUGGUGUCUGUGAAAUCAACACACCAUCUGUUGUUGUAGGGAUGGAGCCUGCGCGUCCAUGGAGUGGUGCUGGGCAAGGCUGGAAACGCAAAGCCUCCGCAGGUAAGAAGCUCUUGUGAGCUGUGCUGACUGCAGAAGCGGCAUAAUGUUGUAGCAGCAGAAAGGCAAGCUGAAGAAACUGCUCUUGAGGAUUAGAAGACUGUGGUUGGCUGUGCUCAAAUCUUCCGCCACAGAGAUGCUCUUCAUGUCUUUCUUGUCUCCUUUCUGCCAGAAGCUGAUGCGAGCGGCCUUCCAGCAAAGCGCAGCCUUGCAGAAAGGCAAGGCAGAAGCGCCCAGUGUGGCACAGCACCAAAGAGAGGUACGGACACACAGCAGGCACCUGGGUUUGGUGCACUGUCUCUCUAGUGAGGCUUUCUGUCCGUCCUUUCCUGGGACUGUGGCCGUUGUGUGUUGGUUGUGGUCUUAAUCCCUGGCAUGUACAGUAAGCAUUCCUGUGCUGAUUAGAAAUGUGAACCCACAGUUCAGCCGAGAUCCUAUGAUCCAUGACCGUGAGCACUCGAGAUGAGAUGUCCCAGGAUUGUGACCCGUUUUGCAGACUGAAAGUAGUGUUGGGCUCUCAUUAAAUCUCCUUGUUUUUCCUUUCUUAACAGAGAUUGGUGCUGAGCCAAAUGACAAAAUCUAUGUCAAAGUGGUCCAGCAGGUCCAUACUGAGAGAGCUUCUCAACAGGCAGCAGCUCAAGCUCCUCUGCAGGCUGGAGGUCCUCCUAGAAGAGCAGGUCCCAGCACAGGGGGAAGACCUUCCCCUGCCGUGUGCCCCCGCUCUGUCUCCAACACCCAUGGCUGGAUAUAAACGCAAGGGCUUGGAGGAAGAGAAACCAACAGCAGCUCAGCAGCCUUCCAAUAAGAGAGUGAGGGGGCCGAGUGGAGACAGCGUGCCGGCUCCAGCAGCACACCCUGGGCCUGCUGCAGCGCGGAGCUCCAAGCAAAGAGGUGAGAAGGUGCUGUGGUACCCGCCGUGCUGAGGCGCUUCCCUUUUCGAGCACAAUGAGUUUGCUUAGGGUUGGCUUUGCUUUCUCCUUCUCCAUGGAGGGGAAAAGAGUGGAAGGCUACAAAGUCCAAAGGCAGUGAGGUGCCAGAACGUGUAACCCUGUCUCUUCCUGUUAACUCUAUGGCAGUCUUCUGCACGCCUCCUGGAAAUGUCAUUCACUGGGAGGCUUCCGAGUCCCAUUUCCUCUGUCUUUUUGCUGCCUUCUGCUUGUACGGCAUGGAUGUUUCUGCCAUUUCACUGUAGACAAAAUGAAUUCAUCUCUUUUUCUUGCCUUACAGAAAGAAGACGACAACGAAAGGAGAGGAGAAAGGAGCUGAAGAAGGCUGCCCUCAGAGCUGCCGCUGCACGUGCAGAGGUGAGUCCUUGGUGAACACAGACAUGGCUCUGGUUGUUCUCAGGGCCUCUGUCUGUCACACAUGAAAGGAAGAGAAUGUAAAAUCCCGAGGGAAGCGGUGUCCUGUUUCUACCCUCGCUCCGUUUCUUCCCAGGCCUCCGCAGUGGACAGCCUUGUGGAGAUGAUGCAGAAGCUGCAGCUGAAGGACUGAGAGGAGGAGCGUCAGCAGGCAGCAGCUUCUGCAGUGCGCGGCGUUACAGGGCAGUGCUGAGUGCCGCCCAUCUCGGCACUCCACCUUCAAACGUAGUCAAUAAACACCAGUCAAAUUUAUAGAUUCACAGAGAGCGCACGGCCUGAUUUGUCCAGCGGCACUUGGAGAGCUGCUGCACCACCUCCUCGUUAUUGGUCUCGCGGCGCUCGCUCAGAACUGCCACAGCUCCGUCAGCGAAUGCUGCCGUCCAGUGAUGCAACGGAGGCAGCAGUCCUUUGCACUGCACACAAACAGACUGUCUGCAAAGCACGUGCAAAGAGCUGCAGGGAACACAGCCUGGCCACGAGCGUGCUAACUUGGAGAGCAACGCUGUGAAUAUUGCCGAGCUUCCCAGGGCAGCACCGAGCGUUUUUUGCUGUGAUGACGGGUGUACAAUGAGCAAAGUUCAGCAAAAGGACAGCGUUUUCUGAAACAGUGACAGGCUGUUGGUCCAGAGCAGCAUCUCUGCAGCUUAGGACCACCAGGCUGCCAUCCUGGCACUGUUCUGCUUGCAGACAGCGCUCCAUGUUGUGGCACUCAGAGGGCGUCCCUCUGCCGUGCAGCCCUCCCCAGUGCCUGCCUGCCUGUCACUGCUCCGGCUGGGAUGGAGCUGUUUCCUUUGCAGUGCCUGCUAUGGCGCUGUGUCCUGGUUCUGUCAGCGCUCCGUGCCGUCCUGCAGGCUGUUGUGCAGAGCGCACUGCUGCGGAGCUGUGCUUCCCGGCCCUGUGCUCUCCAGCACUCUCACGGGAGUUCUGCCGCUCCCAGCAAUCUCCUGUUCCCAGAAGUCUCCGCUGCUCCCUUGCAUGAGCAUCUGCGUGCAGGGAUGUGUGCAGAACCACACAGCCACGUGCAAAGAUUUCCCUGCACACACACCUGUGCAUUCACACACACAUGCACGCGUAUCCUUGCACAGCCGUAUGUGCGCACUCC